AGAACUCGCAAGAUUGUCAAAUGUGCAUUGGGAAACAUAGUUAGAUAGGAUCAAAGAGAAAAUGUGAGCCUAAUCUCCCUUUGGGCAAGCGAAUCAAGACGAUGUUGACUUCUAUAUUUGACCAAUGGAGACGAGCAUGGUAGUGCUGGCUGGCUGCAUUUGUAGUUGGAAUGAUCGGGAAACUUGCUAAGGAACCAAUUCCUAGGUGAGUGAACUUAGCUGAUCUUUAUUACGAUGCCUUCCUCUCCCUUGUUCGUCUCGUUUUCUUUUGUCAGAAAAACUCGUAACUUGUACCCGCUUUCACCCAUAUAUCGACACUGAGGUAUUUUUACGUGUCCACUUGAACUAGCUUUCUUAAUUUUGCCAGCUACAAUGAGGGAAACGAUCAA
rnacentral:lncRNA from 1 species